GCAGCCGCAGCCGCAGCCGAAACCCUCUCUUCUCUUUAUUCCUCUCUCUGCAGUUUCCCAAUCUCUGCUCUUCUGUCUCAUCUCAGUCUCUCAAUCUAUAUUUCUCGAUUUCUUCUUUUAUUUCUCAUUUAGAUUUUGAUUUUGUUUCUGAUUUAUGUUAUUUAUUGGAAGCGAUGAUGAACAUCAAAACCCAGAAUACAGACUCUUAUCCAAACAUCAUCAUUGGUUGAAGAUGAUCAAGAUCUGGGUGAUAUGGGGUAAAUCUCACUUCUCCAUUAUUAUACCGAUUUUCCCCAAAGUUUUCAGUUAGGGUUUCCAAAAUUAUCAGUUAACGUAACCCACGAUUGUAUUUUCAGUUCCUUAAAAUAUGGAAACCAACUUCUGUAAUCAAUUUGCUUGCUCAAUUCUAAUUCAUUCAGUAAGUUUCUUUUUUUUUUAAUCUUUUUGUAGAUUUGUUUAGCAUUUUCUAAUCAGAAUUGCAAUUUGUUUCCAUUAAUCAGAAGUAUAUGCAAGCGGACUUGAAUAAGAAUUAGAAAAUAUGAUAAAAUAAUGAUGGUGGUAUUGUAAUCUCUUCUUCCAAGGGUCAAGCAUAUUAACACUUCGUUGUGUUCACUUAGAAUUCAAUUUUCUAUUCUAGUGUUGACUCAAUCUUCUUUCUUUUUGUUACAUCAAUUCCGUUUCAAAUCUCUACUUAUCUAUUUUCUCCCUCCUAAUCAAAUCCUUUAUUUAUUUCUCUCACUAAAUUAGGUCUUGUUUAUUUUUGAAGCACUUGUAGCAUCAGAUAAACAAACAUCUUUCAAGUUUGAAGACGCCAAUUUGGAUUUUAUUGCACCUAAACGCAUUCACAAUCUGGGUUCUAUAUCUUGCUUCAGUUUAUUUUGUAUAAAUUGAUUCCCUUUCAUGUUUUUCUUGUCUUUUUCUCUUAGAUUUCGUAAAAAUGAGCUAGAGGUGGGGUUAGAGAGUGUGCUUAGAUUUCAUGAUAGUGAAAUCCAUGAACGUACAAGAAUCUUUGGCAGCGAAAUGUAUACACAGACUUGAUAGUUAUUGUAAUUGAUGUAACUGUAAUUUCUUGCUUAAUUGUAUUUUUGCAUCCGCUCGAUUAUUCGCUUAUACUGUCUUCCUUUGAUUGUUUGUUUGAUUCUUGAUGGAUGAAAGUGAAGCACCAUACAUUUUAAAUGAUGUUUGAAAUGCUUGGAUGGUGUUAUCUACGUUAGCCCCCUUACUCAAACAUGGAGGGAUGUGAGUUUGACCCGAAUGCACAUCAUCUCAAACCCAGAGGGAGAAUUUAGUGUGGAACCAACACAACAUCCUGCCUGUGUUCAUAGUCCAUCAACAUAGGAGAUUCGUUACCACUUACGAAAGAAGCACUUAGGUUAAUGAGCGAAGCUGGUCCUGUCAAAGGUGGCAGUGUUGUAAUUGCGUUUAUUGAAGAUCCAGACGGUUACAAGUUUGAUCUUUAGAGAGGGGACCUACACCAGAGCUCAUGCCAAGUAAUGCUACGUGUAGGUGAUCUUAACCGCGCCCUAAAUUACUAUGAGAUGGGCUGUUGAUUACCAGUGGGAUGGUGAUCAAUUUGCGACAGCUGAUGCUCAAGUUGAUAUAUGGGAUCACAGUAGGUCAGAGCUAAUUUAAUCAUGGUGAACCAAAUAUUUUAUCUACAUCUAGCAGUGAUCGCAGCAUUACCUUAUAUGAUCGGUUGUUAACUCCAGUGAGGAAGCUGAUCAUGCAGACAGAGACUAAGGCUUUCUGCUGGAACCUAAUGGAGCCGAUGAACUUCGCAGAUUACAACACUUAGGUGGAAGAAGGAUGGUCAACAAUUUGAGUCAUGGGGAGGCUCACAAGUCGGCAGUACAAGCAGCUAUCAAGCUACCAACAUGCAAACUUAUUGUACUGCUUCAACUAAAAGCUUGAUAUUGUGACUCCAAAAAACAUGGACUAUUACUGGAUGUACUAAAUUGAAAGAUGCUUGCUAAGAAAUCCAACUCUUUACCUUUAUCCAAAUGAAUGAAGCUUUCACUUACGUACAGAAAGCACAGGGCAUACGUAUUUCUUCCUUCCAUUCCAUGAGCACGAGUACUAAGGAUCUCUGGGAUGGAAGAACUUAAAGUUAAUUGGAGCAGACGUAUUCAUACUUGCCCUAUUCUGUGCAAUGAAAGAUUUCAUGUAUUUCAGCUCAAGUAAACAAUAUGGGCAAGUACUUCAUUUAUUUGUAUAUCAGUUAUUUUUUUUUUGCCUUAGAGACAUCCAACAAUGAUGAGUUCAUUUUCCCUUUAAAACAUUUUGUGAGAUUCCUUGAUGUAAUGUUAAGUUAAUAGAUAUAACAAAAUGACAGUUCUUGUUGCGUCA